UGAAAUCGAGUGCGUAAUGAACAGGAAGAAGCAAAGGACACCGGAAUAUGCGGCAAGACUGCAGCAAGCGCUCAUGGUACUGUGUUCAGAUGAAGUAAAGUGGCCGGCUCAGACAGACUCUUUCAGGUGGACACAACUGGGAUCCUUCUUGGCCAUAUCCUCUUUUUCAGUAUCGGGCAAAGGUUGUGCAAGGGUUUCUGGGAGAAGGAAAGCGAAGAUCCCACUGACGAUUGGAGCCCCUCCAUA